UGGAAACCUAAGGUCUGUACCCAAAACUACAGGACUAUUUGACAUCAUAAUAAAACACUGCAGAUAUGAUGCUGAGUAAGAGUAGAAAUGGGAAGACUUGGUUGUGCAGUAACUGAGUUCUUGAAAAGAGGAGAUGCUUGAUGAGGGCAUGGAUCACUAAGGUCUGUUCCCAAUACAAGAAGACUCUUUGACAUCAUAAUAAAAUACUGCAGAUACGAUGCUGAGUGAAAAAGAGUAGAAAUGGGAAGACUUGGUUGUGCAGAAACUGAGUUCUUAAAGAGAGGAGAUACUUUAUGAGGGCAUGGAAAGCUAAGGUCUUUCCAGAAUACUACAAGAGUACUUGAUAUCAUAAUAAAACACUAUAGAUAUGAUGCUGAGUGAGUAAGAGUAGAAAUGGGAAGACUUGGUUGUGCAGAAACUAAGUUAUUAAAAGGAGGAG
rnacentral:lncRNA from 1 species